GGAGGUAUGGUCCAGUGGUUACGACGUCGGUCUUAGGAGCCGAGCCUUAAUUGGCACAUGGGUUCGAAUCCCAUUACCUUCA